rnacentral:lncRNA from 1 species
CCGAGCGUAUUUACACUCGGCAAAUCCGCUGGUUCCAGUAGUGAUUGGAUGUUGAAUCCCUCAGUUGGUUGUGAUCAUAUGAUAUAUAUAUGGUAUAUAUAUAGGGGAUGGUCUUAUCCUGGUAGGAAACAAAUUCAAAUUGUAAUAACCUCCAUGUUUCCAACACUAGAGAAUAGAUAGAAAAAUGAUUUGAAAACAAAUCGGUUUGUACUAGGGCAAAAAACUCGGCUUAGCCAGUUUUGUCUGUCUCAGGCAGGUAGCCAAGCUGGUUCACAGAUGGUUUUUAGGAAACUGCUAAGCCAGUUUUGGCAAUCUAUUGCCAUCUACUCCUUCACCUCUCGGACUCCAAAUGCAAUGCUCCAACACAUUUUCGACGAUCAUCUCAGUUCCAGGAACAUAGUCACCAAAGCUAUUUCAACCUUCCGUCAAUUUUAGGCGUUAUUUACUGUUAUGUUUCUCAAUGAAGCUACAUACACUACACCAGGGAGGUAAAUGGCAGCUCCAGAUGGUUUGUAGGGGUGGUGCGAAAAACAUGAGAUUUGCAGCAGCUGGGGUUCGAACCUGCGACCUCUAGCCUCCCACAUUACUGCUUCUCGAACAAUUAUUCCACCUCACACACCCACUUUCGUCUAUAUCAGAUAUUCUUUCUCCUCGUAU